GGGGAAGAGGAGAAAGAAAGAAGGGGAGUCAUCGUGGCACUUUGCUCGACUUUGUUGUUGGCAUGAUACCAACCCUUGUGAAACAGGUGCCAAAUAUCGUGGAGGCCUCGCAUCGUGUUUUAACGGUUUAACGAUGUGAUUUGUUGCCUGGCAAGAUCGACCUCAUCCUCGCACUCCCCUCCUCUCCUCGAUAAUUUAUCGUGGCCGCGUAUUUAACGAGUGGAAUAACGAGAAAUAUUGCAUCGUCGUGUAACUUUCGUCGUUGAUCGCGAAGAAAUGAUAGGGCGGGUGAUCACGGAUUCCAAUCGAGUUCAAAUUUUCCCCUCGUUGGAAUAACUCGGAUUCGCACGCGAUAUCGAACUCGACGCGUCACUUCGUAACUUGCACUUUCGUUGCAACGUAGUUGUCCUGUUUUCUCCCUGUUUUUCGAGGGAACGAGCCUUCGAGUAACGAGGGAAUCGAGAAUAGGCGAUUUUUUUGGAUUCUUCUUCUGAUUCAACGACAGGGAUCCAGAGAAAAAUGAGAGGAGACGUGAUGCGCAAUGUUUCGCGAGACGACGGCCAACUGCGGUUUCGAGUUGCUGGCGAUUGUAAAAUACAAAGGGGAAGGGGAAAGAUUACGCGACGUGUGUGUAUAUAAACGAUUCACGAUAACUCUGAGUAGUAGCCAACGACAAGUUAAAGCAUAUUCG